rnacentral:lncRNA from 1 species
AGCGGGGCCGGUGCGCGAGCCAGUUUGUAAGCGUUUCUCCUCCGUCUCCAUCCAUUAGGGUUAGCUGCUCCUCCUGCGCCGCUUUACUGGCCCGGAACAGGAGCGUGUCCUGCGGGUCGGUGCUGCAUAUCAGCCCUGGGGGCGACGGGGGUCUGCGCGGCUGCUCUGCGACCUCUCACCGCAGGAAGGUGCUCGGCUGGGAGGAGGAGGAGGAGGAGUCGCGCUUUCAGAGCUGCAGGGGAAGCAUGUAGCUCAGCAGCUCGAGCAUCCGCGAGCCCGGCCACGGUAGCGCUGUAUUAGCAGCAGCCAGUUAGAUGAAGCUGGUUCUCUGCGCUAGCGAGACAUUUUAGCUUCAGAGACAGAGGGGUUAUCAGCACGCGACCUGCCUGCCUGCUGCAGCCUGCAUGUGAUGCAUGUGCUGCUGCUGUGUGUGUAGUGGCUCUGGAAGCUGUGGAAGCUACGUGACCUGCGCUUCUGAGCUAUGCUUUCCUCCUCUGGGAUUAUCGCGAUGAUAGCAGGGCAUCCACAACCAUCACAGAGCGAUUUCUAAUUAGGAGAAGCCAACCAGAUGCAACACGUUGCUGCUGCUGCUGGCUGACGAGCAGGACCACCAGAACCUCGGGGUGUCUUUCAGCCGCAGACUUUAUUCAUGGGAUGAGGGCCUCCUCUGUGUGCUGCUUUAUCGCCCCUGCACUGCCCGUCCUCUCCUCUCUCCCCCUCUUCUCUCUGACUCUGGGCU